rnacentral:lncRNA from 1 species
AUAUAUAUAUAUAUAUUAUAUAUAUAUAUAUAUAUAUAUAUAUAUAUAUAUAUAUAUAUAUAUAUAUAUAUUAUAAAAUAAUAAUAAUGUGGAUUUCUGUGUAUUCUAUAUGAAAAAAAAAUCCUUUGUCUAUUUUACCCAGUAGAACAAGCGGGUGUAGCAGCCCUUACUCCUCACGACACGACUUCGAUCUCAUUAGCUGUGAAUAUAUAAAACAUAGACAAUAGCAAAGUUAUUAGACUAUUAGCUUAUAGAUGGCAAAUAUGGGUAGGUUAGCUGAAGUGGACAGGUAAACAUCGCCAUUAUUUCCUACACUUCCUCGUUUACGGUCAAGCUUACAUAGAGAGAAUAAAAACACUUGCAGAUAUUAUUUUCACCCCCUUUUCCAGCACGCUCAGUAUAAGCUUAUUCCUAGCUGGUGAAGGAAUUAAAAGCUGAUUUAGUUCUAUUUUUCUUUUUGUUUUCUUUUAUUCAAACGACGCUUAAAUUGCUUUAGAGGUAAACAAAGGGAAGGGAAGAAGAGAGGAGGAGACGGGAAGGGAGGAAAGGAAGGGAAGGGAGUCAGGUAUGUCUGCUUUACCGUGAGACGAAUAAAGAUGAGGAAUAAGAGGAAAGAAAAGAAAUAGUCACGAUUAUUUUUACUUUAGACGAUUAUCCACUUCUCUCUUUUUCUUUUUUUUUACUUCUCGUGUUGUUGUUGUUGUUUGUAUUUAGUUGUACUUCUGACGAGUUGGGCUGCUACUUCCUCUCUUUUUUUUUGUAUAAAUAUAAUAAUAAAAAAAGAAUAAAAUGGACGAACUUUCAAUAGAAUCAUAACAGUGUCAAAAGUAAAACUUAAAAAAAAGUCCCCCAAAAAACUGUGUGAGAGAGAGAGAGAGAGAGUGUUUGAACGGAAUUCUCUCAACGUAUCCGUGAUAGAAGGGUCCAACUACACCCAGUGACGGGAUGUUUGCAAACGGUGGCGUGUAUGUCCUUCUUGACCUCAGCAUUCAAUUAUCUUUGUAUACAUAUAUUUAGAGCAAAAUAUUUGAAACAUGAAUAUAUUAUUAUUAUUAAUAUUAUAGUAGAGCAGAAGUGUGAUAGCGAUGACUGAUGGUGAUGAUGAUGAUGGUGAGGAUGAUGAUGGUGAGGAUGAUGAUGGUGAUGAUGAUGUUGAUGGUGAUGAUGAUGGUGAGGAUGAUAAAAAAAAUCAUAAAGAGAACUGCGCACGACAAAAUAAACAUUGUGAUAUAGGACUUAAUAAAGUGAUUAGUAUAGACCGGGAAGCGCACUGAGAUGCAAACGGUGCGCAGUCUGGAAAGGGAUGGAUGAGUGUACAUACUGAGAGACAUAAGAGAAGAAGUGAGGACUGCGCAAGUUGAGAGAGAGAGAGAGAGAGAGAGAGAGAGAGAGAGAGAGAGAGAGAGAGAGAGAGAGAGAGAGAGAGAGAGAGAGAGAGAGAUAACGUAAAAAAGGUCACAGGAAGCAGAUGAUGACACCAAAGAUGAAUUAUGCCAAUGCAAAAGUACAAUGAAACGUAACAAGUAAACAAACUAAAAACAAAAACAAAAAUAUCUGAAAGGAGACCGAGUACAAGUGAACAUAUAAGUUAUAUAAAAAAAAACACCCGCGGAGGGAGUAAAGAGGAACAGAUACAACUGAAAAUACAAGAUGUAAACAAUGCCUCAGUAGAUGAAUAUUUAGAAACUGGAAAAAAAAUAAAACUAUAAAUUAUCGAUACAAUUACGAACUGACUUAAUAAAAAAAAUAUAACAAUGAUAAAAUUGACCCUAAAGAUAUAUAUUAAUCGGGAAUUAGAUAAAAAAAUAAUUGCUAUUUCAAAUCAAAGUACAGUAGUCAGUUAUCAAAGCCGUAAUGUUGGAGAUGAGAAAUGAUAAGAUGUACAAGAGAAUAUUGCUACGUGUAUGUACAACAAAUGUGAUAAACCUUGACAUGGUACAACUUAGACAUAGAGAGAGAAUGAGAGAGAGAGAGAGAGAGAGAGAGAGAGAGCGAGAGCGAGAGCGAGAGCGAGAGAGAGAGAGAGAGAAUGAAUCUGGUUUAAGUUUACAUCCUGUACAACUUAACCAAAUCCAAAAAACAAAAGAGAAGCGAUGUACGUCAAUGUGAUAUUGUACUAAUGUGGUAUUGUACACAAAUUGGGGUUAUGCAAAGUUGAAGUGAUAAAGAACACGUGUACAAAAGAACAUAGAACAAGUGUGAUAGGAGGUAGGAAAGAUUGACAGCGGGAACACCUGUGAUGAUCAACAGGGUGUAAUAAUCUAAGGUAUAAACGAUAGAAGAAAAACUAAUGUAUAAAGUAUAAAGUACAACUAAUAUGGGUGAUUAGGGAUUGGAACAACUAUACCCAAACAGAAGUAAAGUAGUAAAUGGUACAAAUAGGAAUAAUAAGGAAUAAAAGUAAUCAAUUUAAGGUACAAUUAAUAAGUAAGUUGAAAAGAUGGAAGGAAAAAAAACAGCGUAAAGAAACAGAAAAAAGAGAAAUUGGAGAGAAUUUAAUGUGUUUUUUCCGUGUUUUUGUUCUCUAAUAACUAAUCACAUAAACAACGCUUAAAUAUUAUAAUUAGCUUUAAGUGAGUUACAUAUAUUAUCAGUACCGUUAAAUAUAUCUUUUCUUUUUAUCACUUUUUUUUGCACUUAAUGCUUUCAGCCACAAACACAAACUAACUAAAAACUAAUUGUAUGUUUUUUUUUUGUAUAUAGAAGCAUCUAACAUGUAUUUUCACAUCACAGGUCAAACAUGCAAAAAUUCCAACACCUAAAUUAUACUGGAUCAAUACACGUACAAUUUCUGCCCAAACUCUCAUACGGACCACCAAACACGACUGGCUUACGAAUCAAGUCAUGUUGGUUUAUAUACACUGUACUAACUCUCUAUAUACACACUAACCCCUUAAUUCCCUCAAAACCAUCUAUAAUUACUUCCUAAUUACACAAUCAAUUUUAACUAUCUGUCUCUACUUCUAUAAUGGCAAUAUUAUACCAAUAAUCCGUCAGGUCUUUUACUAAUAAUAAAUACCAAGAUUUUUAUUACAAUUAUCAUUAUGGUAAUAAUUUUCGUGCUGUUGAAGUAGUAAUAAUAAUAUUUUUUUUUUUACAAAUAGUUUAUAAACUUUCUACAUUAAGUGUUCAUAUAUAUGUAUUUUCUUACUUCUUUUUAAUCUUCCAAUGAGUGAGAGUUAUUAACAAAUAAUCUUUUAAUGGCAAAUAAUUUUUUAUAUAUAAUUUUCUGAGUUGUGAACGCAAGUACUUUUUUCAGUGAGUAAAUAAUUUCUUCCACAAGUAAAUAAUUUCCCCCCAAAAGUAAAUAGUUUCCCCCACUACUAAAUCAUUUCACCAACAAGCAAAUAAUUUCUUCUAUUAAUCACCUUGACCAUAUUUUUAAGGCUGAUUUCGUUUCUUCAAUUUCUAACAUUUUGUCUUGUAGUUUAAAGGGAAAAAAUAUUGUGAUCCUUAUUGCUCUGUGACUCCCCUAUGCUAUAGUUAAGUGUGGCCCAGACGUGCAGAGGCCGGAGCUCGUGUGCGCUGUUCUCAUGAUAUUAUAACCAAUUGUAACUAAAAAACAAAAUAAGUAUAGCCUGAAUUAUAGCCAAAACAUAGCCUGAAUUAUAGCCAAAACAUAGCCUGAAUUAUAGCCAACACAUAGCCUGACUUAUAGCCAAAACAUAACCUGAAGACGUAACACUGAUUGCAGCCAUUAUAGCUGAUUAUAGCCUAAAAUACAUCUGAAAACACAUCUGAGUGUAGCCAAAAUAUAGGCCAAGUCAUAACACCUCAAAAAAUAGCCCAAAAUAGGAUAAUUAUAGCAGAAGGCAGCCAAGUAUCGAACAAAGUCGAGUAUAAUUGAGAUGAAUAAUGAAGUAUAAUGGAGGAAUAAACGAAGGUGGAUAACAGGAAGAAGAGAAUUAGAUGAAACAAGUGAAGAACGAAAGAGAAAAGAAAAGGAAAAAAGAAACAGAUACAUCAAGGUACAGCAAUACAUAACAAUAAUAAACAUAGACAAGAUUUAUUUCUGAAAAGCUGUAGAAAAAAAAAUAAGCACAUGAGAAAACUUUUAUUUUGUAAUCCUGAAAAUCACGAAAACAAUCACCACAAUGUUUAUAGCAAGGCAUAUUAUAAGUAUUUUUUUUUCUUCUUAUAUCGUGAGGGUAAGAAUACAAACUCUCUGAGGGGCGUAUUUUAUGUAUAAUGAAUCUGUACUUAGUGUGUAUAAUUAUUGUAGCCUUUACGGUGGCUGGGUUACUGAUGCGCGACCUGUAGAACUGCUGAAGCGAGAGACUAUUGGACGAGUACAUUUAUUUUUUUAUCAGUGAUCACCAGGAGGUGUUUCCUAGUCACGGUGUGUGUAUGAGUGUGUGUAGCUGGACACUUGUUGUGACAUCUGUUAGUGAAGCUGCUUAUUGGGUCAGAGGAGGUCAUUGUAGGAAGUUGAGUGAAAAGACUUUGACAACACUCACAUCUUGACGCAACUUUUCACUAUAGACGUAACAGUCAGACUACUGAUGAAUAUUAUGCAAAGACAAUCUGUUAACAUGACUUACCACAUUAUCUUCCUUCGAUACAUUAGAGUUCCUAGACAACCAGCUCUGAGAGAUACGACUCGAUGGGCUGUACGACUCAACUAGUACGGCACAACUAGUAUACUACGAUUCCACCAAUAUGACUCAACAGUACGACUCGACCGAUACGACUCAACAGUACGACUCAACCAGUACGACUGAACAGUACGACUCAACUAGUAGGACUUAACUGGUAUAGUACGAAUUAACCAGUACGACUCGACCAACUCACGUUCUAUGCCAUCCACAUUAGAGAAACAUUACAGUACACCCGACCCACCAUACGACGAGAUUGACCUUAAAACCAUACUAGUCAUAAUACUCGAGACAUUUACCCCUUUAUCUGGUAACACUAACCUAAAAAAAAAAAAAUACAGUACACGAAAAACACGUAUUUUUUUUUCACUUUAACAACUAAAUAAACAUGUUUUUUUUUCCCCCCUCCCAUAAAUGACACAACUCACUCAAGGAUUUUUUUUUUUAAUUUAAUAGACAUAUUUUAGAUAAGUCUUUCUAACUUCACAUACUAUCUGAUCAAAUUUGACCCGUGUGAUCUUUCAACAUUCUCCCGACGUUGAUCUUCACAACAACAGAAGUAUUUAGGGUCAGUGUACGGACUAAGGCAUGGACAAGAUGGUAAUUUCUUCGACGUUGUAUAGUUAGGGAUUUUAAGAUGUUUCUCAUUGUGACGUGUUUGGAAAUGUGUGUGUAUGUGUGUGCGUGUGUGUGUGUGAUAUCAGGUCAUGAGGAGGGUCACAAACUAGUCCUUUUGGGGUGAUUGAUUGACUGUUCAUCACCUGUUUUAUUUGCGUUUGUGUUGGGUGAUUCUGACGGCUUUAGCUGGUAAUAAAAAUUGAGGAAAGUGAACAUCGAAGAUCAAUUCCAAAUACAAAUAAAAAGUGACUGAUUCUUUUGGAAAAUAUGUAGGUGUUGGAGGAGGUUAUAGGUUGGGUCAAUAUGGUGCUUCUCAAUAUUCUGUAAGAUGUCUGACAAUUUCUUUGGGAAUCUCUGGUAUUGCUGGAUAAACUGCUGACUCAUGAUGACUUGCGAAAUCAAUGAGAAUUAAAGUAUUUUCAUAUUGUUACAAAAUAUACAAAUAGAUCUUAUGUUACCAGUAAUUAUUUAUAUCCAAAGUUUAUAAAGGAAAAUUAAUUUAAAGGAUAACCUACCAAUUGUAAAUAGUUUUGAAUGAUAUAUAAGAUAUAUUUUUAACUCAACAUUCAUACGAUGAAUGACUUUUAACGGAUCGACUUCCAGCAGUACCAAAGAUGCUCCUCGAAAUCUCUCAAGGUUUAGUCUGUAAUACGUAAGAUAAUGUUGUGUUGACUGACACUGAACUACCAGACCUAACACUAAAACUACAGUUAAACAGCCAAGCGCAGUUCUCUCUCUUCUUGUAAUCUCCGGAAGUGAAAAUUCAUAGUACAAAACGAUUUUAUUCAAUUUAAGAUUACAGUGUUUGUAAGAGUCUACCUUAGAGCAUCAACUUGAAGAACAAACGGCAGAGAUCAUUGUGUUAUGUGAGGGAAAAAAUACAAUUAAUAAUUUUAAAUUGUUAAAGAAUUUUUCUCUCAUUGUUUAAUUUAGUUCAUCAAAGUCAAUCCAGUAAAUUAAAUCCCGAUUUUUUGUGUUCAUAUAAAAUUUUAGUGCAAAUAAAAUUCACAUUUAUUUAUUUAUUUUUUUGUGACAAAUUAAUUUCACUUCUGGAGAAUUUUGAGAGUAGCUCUGGAUGAUGGGGUAUUUUGAACCUUAUGAAGAAGUCCAAUAGGGUCUGUAUCCAAGUGUUGUUAACAGAAUAUAACCAAGCAAAGUAUGUUUUAGGAAUGUUGUUGUUAAAUUUAACCUUUGAUUUAAAUAAUGUAUUGUAUUAUUUUGUCAGUACCAUGCCACUGAGACUUGUUAUUUAGAUGAGGAAAACCAACCUUACUGGGGGUGUCUGCAUGAGGUUGAGAACUUCCUGUCAUGCUCAUUAAAUGUCCCUGUGUUGGACGUGGGAUUAGGCACUGUCUGAGUGGCACUGUCUGAUUGGCACUGUCUGAUUGGACUUGUGUGACUGAGUGGCCCUGCGACAGAAAAAGAACAAGAAGAAAACACCAACUGGACUACAAGCUGAGUAAGGGUUAGAGAGUGUACGUCUCCCCACAACCUUACCUGUACUGUGUGACAAUUUACCUUGGCGAUCGUUUCCACAAGUGUACAGUAAAAUGGUAAUGUUUUUUAUCUGUAGAACCAAUAAGACAAUAAGUAAUUAAUUGUAAUGGAAUGACAAUGGAACUGAUUUCAGAGGAAAUUUUGAUGACAUCCUCAUAAAGGUAAAAUGUUGUUUGUUAGUAAGAAUACAUAAAUUUUUGCAUGUAUUUGUAGGUGUGUAAAUGAACUAAAUUUGUAUUUGUCAUAACCUGAGGCGAUCCUUUAAAAGACAUUGUCCUUCCAGAUUCAAAAUAUUUGAUAAAAGGUUCUGCCUCUAAGUUCCUGUUCGCUGAUAGAGCCAAUGAGAACGAAUUUUAUGUAAAAAACAAAAAUUCUUUGCCCUGAUUGGUUCUCUUUGUAAGUGUGCUUGUGUUCAGGAGAGGCGCUUGAGUCCGUCGAUGCACUUUUCCUGCUGGCCUGGCCUGGCUGGACGUGUUAUGUUGAACUUCAGACUAGAUGGAAGCCGUUGACACACUUUUAGUCGACAACAAAGUGUGUCUGCGGCUUCAGUCAAAGUGUGAGUGUGAGAUGAAGCAGCAGCUGUGACCCCACCAUCAGGUUCAGGGGAGACUGGAGUGGAAGAGUGUGGAGGUGACGAGGACGAGUUGAGGAGAAUGUGAAGACAGAGUGAAUGGUGAGAGGAGUGUGAAGGGAGAGUGAGAGUUGUAAGAGGAGUGUGGAGAUAGUAAGUGUGGUAAGAACAACUUGUUGAGGAGGAGAGUUGAGGCAGUGUGAGCGUAGGUGGGAGCAGAGAUGGACUCAAACGUGUCUCCUGGGUGCACGCCCUCAGUGUGCUUGUAUAUACGGCAUAGACCAAGGAGACCUGGCGAGGCGGGGGGUGUCGGCAGUCAACCUCCCUUAACAACUUACCACCACAACCACAACAUACUGGCUGGCACCAGAUCACAACUCAAUAAGCUGAAGCAACCACUUAAUACCUAAUAAUAUAUUUUAUGAUUUACACCUCCAAAAAGACUUAGUACAAACACGAACACCCAAGUAUACGUUGCUCGUUCUACACAUGAACAUCUUGUCACAUUUUCGUCAAAUACAAAUAAAAACGGCCAAACAAACUACUAUUUUCACCAGCCUACAACCCCUCGUAGUAUCUCUCAAUUCAACUUAAUUUCUACGUUUAAUUUAGCUUUAAUAAGUAAGUCAAUAAUUAGAUAUUCUUGUCCUUACAACACCUCCCCCCAGUACCUAUCACAAGCUAUUCGACACCCACAAACACCUACAUAUACCACGUCAGCAUAACCAGAGUUCACCCUGACGGCCAAUAUUAUAAUCAGUCCAUUUGCAGAAUAACAACAAACAGAUGAAAUACAUAAUAUAUUAAAAAACAAAAACAAAUCCCAUAACUACAGAUCAUCACGAGACAGAGAAAAAAGGUUUCUCUGUCAGGCUCUGAUGUUAUUCACUAAAGUUUAUCCAGACGCUGACCGAGGCCUCCCCUACCCGCCCAGGCUCUACAAGGUGUGCUAAGAGUACUUCUGUACCUGACUCUAUGUUAAGCACCGACGCAACUCCUGUGCUCUUAAAACUCUCGACUCUUCUUAUUUUCUUCCCUAAGUUUCUCAAACCCAACAAAGAUCUGUUUCAACUUACUUUACUUUACUUUACUUAUUUACUUACUUAUUGUCUUCAUCUCCUUUGAUUUUUUUUCUUUUAUCAUAUCAGUAAAUGUCAUUCGAAAUCCUCUUUUGUUCUCUUAUGUAAACAGUAUCUUUCUAAGCCUUCUGAUUUAAUUUUUAAGAGCACUUGAUGCAUUAUUUGUUUUUUCUAUUUUGAUGGACAUAAGGAUAUAACUAUAAGUAACCAGCCUAGAGAGCACGGGAUCGGAGUCAAUGCGUGGUGAUGUGGUUUGUUAUACCAAUCUGAUAGCUGGGUAAGGGUUCCAACCGUGUACAGUACUUCUCGGGCACCUGAUCAACCAUUAUGAGCAUUCGGUACACCUUGACUGAGAUACAUCUUCACUUCUCGUAGUUUCCCAUCAAUAUGUUACGACCGAUCAUAGUCUUUUUUUUUGCCUUAUCUGUCCUUCACGUCGGCCAGAAAACAGAUGUCUACUAUAUCUGACUGUCUGAACUUCGUGUAGGAUAUCCAAAACAAACAAACCAAAUUAAACACAAAGCAAAAACAAAACGAAAGGAAAAAUAAAAUAGUAACAAAACAGAAGAAUCAAAUCCUCAUAAGGGAUGAUCACGUCGCCUAAUAAUUGUGUAGAAACCUUUGCAUCAAUUCCUGAUUCUGUCUACUUUUUGGAAGCUCACUGUAAACUAGAGAAAGGGCGUUGCCUAUUAAUUUUGUAAUAUGACCGCAUCCUACUUUAGGUAGAUCAUGAGACGACUCCAGGGCGUGAGAGAGACCGUGGCGUGUGUGUGGCUCCCUCAAACGGAAUCUUGUAUCGGAUAUUCAUUGCCCUGUCGCAAAGUUCACUUUUUUUUUUUUUGAGUGUGUGUGUUUGAAAAUUUCUAGGAAAGGUAUGGUCUAUGGUGUAUUAAAACAAAAAGGGAGUUUUGAAGCGUGUGUCUUUUUUGUGUAUAAUAAAGAUGAAAAUCAUAGUGAAUGUAAAACAUAAGCACUCCUUCAUUUUCUUAGUUUUAUUAGGUAUAUUAAAGUGUCAUUGAGUGAGAAAUUCAUGUUUAUUAUUUUGAAUGUAAUUUGUUCAUUGUUGUUGGAGUGUGGGUGGCUUUUUUUAAUAUAUACUGUACACACACACCAGAGCCGAAUUAUUUAAUGACUGGUGCUAUACUAAAUUUGUAUCAUGUCUACGUUAUGUGAAUUAUAUGAAAUUUGACCGUUUUCAUCAGUGGCUGUAACUUGGAGUCAUUUAUAAUGUAGGUUAUAUGUGUGCUUAUAAUGUUAUAAUCAAACUAGUAAGGAUUUGUAAGGCAGAAGUAGAGAUGGAGCAAAGAUUGUAAGUGGUUGUGUUGACUCUGUAAGUCCUGGACACCGAUGUGAACCAGAGAAUGAUCCAACACUCACAGCCUCCACAUACUACAACAUUCAUCCCUCAACAACAUAUCACAACAUGAAUUGGAUCUUUCCAUUAAAACAAAAAAAAACGACAAAAAACAGUCAGUUUCCUCACUCGAUAAAGAAGUCAUUCUUUUUAUAAUAUAAACCAACAAAAAAUAUAGAAAAAAUAGCAAAAUCUAAGAAUAACUCAAAUUCCCCCCAAAAGAGUAACUUAGCCCCCCCAACGAAAAUCUUUCUUCACUUCUGAUCGACUUAUCAUUCUCUGGUUCUGUAUUAUCCGCAACACGUUUUCUCCCCUUAAACAUCUCUUUUUUCCUUAAUGAAGCUGAAAGCCUGGCAGGGGUAGACCCAACCUCCUCGGGAGAAUGAAGAGACUUGGCACCCCCAGAGGGAAGCGGGGAUCGGAAAAAUCAACCAACUCAAAAUUUGUCUUGAAACAACAUUGCAGAUUUAUACUUCUUUUCUCUCCUUCGGGAUAAUCCCCAAAAGAGCCGUGUCAGCAACAGCAUCAGCCACUGGAGAUAACAUGAUCUCUCUAGGUGCAGCAGUGUCCUCACCUCACCAGCGUGUUUGUGUGUGAGGCUGCUGGUUGUCUUAUUACUAGGGAGAGACUGCCUAUAGUCUUCAGUCCUGGUGUUGUGGUCGACAUGGCUACUCACACUUUCUCUUAACCUGGGUUAGACCAGACCAGGAUUCCUUGUGUCACCAAAGGUUGACAAUAUCAUUCAUCACAGCUGAGACAACAUCACUCAUCACACACACACAUCUUCUCGCUUCUUGUGAUCUUAAUGUUCACUCAAUCAACAACUUACAGUACAUAUUCAGAAUUUUUACUGUUCAAGAUGUCAUGUUUUUUUUUUCAUUAUCUUUUGUAACACACACACACACACACACACACACACACACACACACACAGUCACUCAAGUAACAUAGACAUUGGUACACUCAUUCACUGUUACUCUUAAGUCACAGUUAUACUCACUGUUACACUCAAUCAUUGUUAAAGUCAUUCAUUGUUAUACUCAUACACAGUCACAGUCUCUCACUGUUACAUCCAAUUACAGUUACACUCAGUCACACAUAUACUCAGUCACUCUUACACUCAGUCAUUUCAACACUCGGUCAAAUAUCUUCCAAGUUAGAAAGACCAUUUGUCAACCUCUUCAACAUUCUGCUACACAAGAAUUUCUGGUCCGGUCAAAGAUGUGUUUUACCCACAUUAACAUCACCAAGGAACACCUAAUAAGCCUUACACUAAGCCCAUUAAAAUCAGCUUCACAACAACUUAUUAAAUGAAAAAAAAACAACAACAACAACAGACAAAGAACUGCAACAACCUCGGUUAUCCAUUCACCAAUCAGAACACUGGAGAAAAAAGAUGGUUCCUGCUUCCUUCUGGAUAUAUAAAAUAAGAAAAAUAACCAUAAAAAAAUAUUAAAAAGCACCUAUAAUACUGUCUGUCAUAAAAAAUAUAUAUAUAUAUUAAUAUAUAUCUCCAUAAAAUAAUAAAAAUUUACAAUUGAAAUAACUUUUAAAGAUCUUUCCAAAAUUCGAUCGUCUUUACUUUAUUUUUUUUUGUAACUUGCAAAAUAUUUUAGGUCAACGUACUGUACUGUAUGUCCAAAAUUCUGAUGAUCCACUGCUGCGAGUCUCAACACAGAUUCCGUGUUUAUAUGAAUAAAAAGAUACACAAACG